AUUGAACGCUGGCGGCAUGCCUUACACAUGCAAGUCGAACGGUAACGGGCCUUCGGGUGCCGACGAGUGGCGAACGGGUGAGUAAUGCAUCGGAACGUACCUUUCAGUGGGGGAUAACGUAGCGAAAGUUACGCUAAUACCGCAUAUUCUGUGAGCAGGAAAGCAGGGGAUCGCAAGACCUUGCGCUGAUUGAUCGGCCGAUGUCAGAUUAGCUAGUUGGUGAGGUAAAGGCUCACCAAGGCGACGAUCUGUAGCGGGUCUGAGAGGAUGAUCCGCCACACUGGAACUGAGACACGGUCCAGACUCCUACGGGAGGCAGCAGUGGGGAAUUUUGGACAAUGGGGGCAACCCUGAUCCAGCCAUGCCGCGUGAGUGAAGAAGGCCUUCGGGUUGUAAAGCUCUUUCGGUCGGGAAGAAAUCGCAUGGGUUAAUACCCUGUGCGGAUGACGGUGCCGGCAUAAGAAGCACCGGCUAACUACGUGCCAGCCGCCGCAGUAAGAC
rnacentral:rRNA from 1 species